AUGUUUGAACUGAAGAGUUUGAUCAUGGCUCAGAUUGAACGCUGGCGGCAGGCCUAACACAUGCAAGUCGAGCGGUAGAGAGAAGCUUGCUUCUCUUGAGAGCGGCGGACGGGUGAGUAAUGCCUAGGAAUCUGCCUGGUAGUGGGGGAUAACGUCCGGAAACGGACGCUAAUACCGCAUACGUCCUACGGGAGAAAGCAGGGGACCUUAGGGCCUUGCGCUAUCAGAUGAGCCUAGGUCGGA
rnacentral:rRNA from 1 species